rnacentral:tRNA from 1 species
GCUGAAGUGGCAGAGCUAUAUGCAUCAGGUUUAAGAGUUGAGGACGGGAGGAAUUUCCCCUUUAGUA